UACAGAGGUCUCAAGCGUUUGUUCGGAUUCAUUGGGCGUAAAGGGUGCGUAGGCGGCGCGGUAAGUCGGGUGUGAAAUCUCGGAGCUUAACUCCGAAACUGCAUUCGAUACUGCCGGUGCUUGAGGACUGGAGAGGAGACUGGAAUUUACGGUGUAGCGGUGAAAUGCGUAGAUAUCGUAAGGAAGACCAGUGGCGAAGGC
rnacentral:rRNA from 1 species